GAUGAACGCUGGCGGCGUGCCUAAUACAUGCAAGUCGAGCGAACUGAUUAGAAGCUUGCUUCUAUGACGUUAGCGGCGGACGGGUGAGUAACACGUGGGUAACCUGCCUGUAAGACUGGGAUAACUUCGGGAAACCGAAGCUAAUACCGGAUAGGAUCUUCUCCUUCAUGGGAGAUGAUUGAAAGAUGGUUUCGGUUAUCACUUACAGAUGGGCCCGCGGUGCAUUAGCUAGUUGGUGAGGUAACGGCUCACCAAGGCAACGAUGCAUAGCCGACCUGAGAGGGUGAUCGGCCACACUGGGACUGAGACACGGCCCAGACUCCUACGGGAGGCAGCAGUAGGGAAUCUUCCGCAAUGGACGAAAGUCUGACGGAGCAACGCCGCGUGAGUGAUGAAGGCUUUCGGGUCGUAAAACUCUGUUGUUAGGGAAGAACAAGUACAAGAGUAACUGCUUGUACCUUGACGGUACCUAACCAGAAAGCCACGGCUAACUACGUGCCAGCAGCCGCCGUAAGAC
rnacentral:rRNA from 1 species